AUUGUGGGAAUAUGAGAAUCUUUUUCAUUGAAUUGAAAGAAUUUUCUAUUGAAUGGAAGAUGAUUUUACAUCAACAAGUAAAGGAAAAAAGAAAUUAUUUAGUACUUACUUUUGAUACUAAUUCAAAUUGCGUUGCUGUGUCAGAAGAAGGAUAGCUAUACUGAUUCGGUAUACUCUAAAGACGCCCUCGGUACAAUAUUGACGAUCUCACAAAGAUUAAAUUUCAGUUAAUUGUCAUUUACUGAUCUCAUCUUUUACGGAAUCGAUCUUCUUUGACUGUACAAGAAUAUGUGGAGCUCAGCAUGUCUGGAAGCACAGGAGAACGUUCGUUUGCUGAUAUUAUUACCAGUAUUCGAUACUGGGUCAUUCAUAGCAUUACUAUACCUUCCCUAUUCAUUGCGGGUUGGUUAUUUGUCAGCACAGGUUUAGCUUACGAUGUGUUUGGAAGCCCGCGGCCAAACGAGUAUUUUACAGAGAGCCGACAAGGAAUUCCAUUAAUAACUGGCCGUUUUGAUCCUUUGGAACAACUCGAUGAAUUUAGUAGAUCGUUUUAGGAGGCCCUAAUGACUAUAGAUCGAACCUAUCCAAUUUUUACAGUACGAUGGUUGGCUGUUCACGGCCUAGCUGUACCUACCGUCUUUUUUUGGGAUCAAUAUCAGCAAUGCAGUUCAUCCAACGAUAAACUUAAUCCGAAUUAUAGAGCUACGACACAAUCAAACCCGAACGAACAAAAUGUUGAAUUGAAUCGUACCAGUCUCUACUGGGGGUUAUUACUCAUUUUUGUACUUGCUGUUUUAUUUUCCAAUUAUUUCUUCAAUUAAGAAAACGAAAGAGAAUAAAUAAGAUUCUCUUAGCUCAUUCGGAAGGAUCUCAUAAUUUAAUUAUCCAUGACUGUUUAUGUCUCUAGCAUGACCACUUGAUGAAAUCUGGAGGGAAGUGGGGUAAAUGGCCGAUACUACUGGAAGGAUUCCUCUUUGGAUAAUAGGUACUGUAGCUGGUAUUCUUGUAAUCGGUUUAAUAGGUAUUUUCUUUUAUGGUUCAUAUUCCGGAUUGGGUUCAUCCCUGUAGUAAUCGACUGAAUUGAGUUGUCAACAUGAAAGCGUAAGAACUUAACGGGAUUCCCUUCUUUGUUUGUUUGAUUCGAAGGGGAAGGGCCCGUUGAGUUCUUAAGAAUCAUAAUAUUUUUUUCGUCUAAAUGCUAAAACGGAUUUCUUUUUCUUUUCAAAAACUCCGUUUUUCUCAUUUUUCUGAGCAUGUUUUUGAAAAAUUCACUUCAUUGAGUUAGUCAGACCACCUCUUCUUUUUAUAUGAUAGUAUCUAUCGGUACUUUCAAAGUUGGAAGAAAGAAGGAAGAACUCAAUUUCUUGGCUGCUAUCAUAUAUUAGAUAGCGUGCAAAUCCUUUCUAUACUAAUCUAAUGUAGAACCUUACUCUCUAUAUUACAUUACUCUAUUGAUUUUUUAUUGUUUUCCUAUUUCAUCAUCAAAUUUUUUAUAAGAUAAGUUGAUUGAAGAAGUUUUAUUUAAUUAAUAAAAUUUCCUCUCUUUUUGUUUUGUUUGUCCACCAAUUCAUAUAUUAUAUGUAAGGGGGUAGGUGUAGGGUUUCUGAUACAUCUGGAAAAAUUGAAACCAAGACUAGGAAUUUUUAACAAACAGGAUCAAGAAUCAUUACUCUUUCGUUUCGACACAAGAAAAAAGGAUUUUUCUACACCCCUUUCUUGUGUCGAAGACUAGGAAGACAAAUAAUCCCUCCUAGAAUUUUUUCUUCCCCGCAUUUAUCCCCCGCUUCCUUAUGUCUAGUAUUUAGACAAAUUUGACUUUCUUUCUAUUUAGAAUAGAAAACUAUUGAUACGUUUUAUGGCAGUGAAAUCUGGCAAUAGUAACAUAGUUACACUACUCCAAUUAAAAAAAAACUAAAUCAAAAUAAAUGAAAGCCAAAUACUCUUCUUCAAAAUCUACAUACUAUGUGGUACAAGGGAUUCCCAGCAUCUCGUAGAAAAAGAGUAUGUAAUGUAGAUUUUGAAGAAGAGUAUAAAUAAGACAAAGGAGUUUUCAUAAUUUCAUUUUUUUGAUCAUAAAUAAUCGCCAACAAGAAUUUGGUUCUUUUUACGUACUUGAUAUCGAUAAAUCUGCGAAUCUAGAAAUUCAUUUCGGCCAAUUGAACCUUCUCGAACUGUUUCUUUUUAAGAACCAAAAAGAUUUGUGCCAAAAUAACAGAUGCCAAGAAGAACAAAAGUCCUUGGACACGUAAUGGAUCUUGAAGUACUAUUUCUGCAUCUCCCUGACCAAAUCCGCCUACAUUAGGAUUACUCGUUAAUGGUUGAUCAAAUUUGAUAGAUUCGCCCUCGGAAACAAGAAGUUCUGGUCCGGGAGGGAUAAUAUCAACCACUUGACGUCCCUCCGACGCAUCCGUUAUGGUUAUCUCAUACCCCCCUUUUUCUUUUCGUAUGAUUUUGCUUACUAUACCUGCUGCUGUAGCAUUAUAAACUGUAUUGUUACUCUUGUUGCCGUCGGGAUAAAUCUGACCCCUUCCCCUGUUCCCGCCUACGUAUAUAGGAUAUUUUAAGAAGUGAACAUCCUUCUUAGUAGCAGGGUCCGGGGAAAGAAUAGGGAAGGUUAUUUCACUAUAUUUUUUACCAGGGACAGGGCCUACCACAAGAAUAUUUGUUUUAUUGGGGCGAUAGCUCUGAAAAGACAAAUUGCCAAUCUUUUCUUUCAUCUCAGGAGAAAUACGAUCGGGAGGAGCUAAUUCAAACCCCUCCGGUAAAAUAAGAACAGCUCCGACGUUCAACCCCCCUUUUUUACCAUUAGCAAGAACCUGUUUCAGUUGCAUAUCAUAAGGAAUUCGAACAACUGCUUCAAAUACAGUAUCAGGAAGUACCGCUUGUGGAACCUCAAUUUCCACGGGCUUAUUAGCUAAAUGGCAAUUGGCACAUACAAUACGCCCAGUCGCUUCUCGUGGAUUUUCAUAACCCUGCUGUGCAAAAAUGGGAUAUGCACUUGAAAUGGACGUCCGAGUUAAGAUAUAUAUCAUGAGCGAUACGGAAAUAGAUCGAGUAAUCUGUUUCUUUAGCCAAGAAAAAGCAUUUCUAGUUUGCAUGGUCCAAUCAUUGAUCGCGAAAAUUUCUACAAUAAAUUGGGUAGGUCGCUAGUAUAGUUCCCUAGCCACGAUUCUGCUAUUUGCUGGAAUAAUCUAGGAUGAAUCUUCCCGAUGGUUAGAAAUAGGAAGAGUAAAUAUGAUUUUCAAUACUUUGCUUAUGUACAACUACAAAGUACUAAGCAUUCUAAUUGGAUUAGAUUAAUAUCAAUGGAUCCUUUAUCAUUCAGUUAUUGAAUCAUAAAGCAGUAAAAUUGACGGAGACAGACUAGUUAAAUAACGGAAAAGCCAAUAUUUAAAACAUGUAUCAAAAAUUACUGGAAGGAUGCAAACAAGAAUAGUUAUAGUUUGCUCAUUCGCAACAACUCCAACCUCGUUAUAGAUAGAGCGUAUAACGAAUUCCCAACCUGGGGGUGAAUGAUAUCCGAGAAAAAACUCACUUACUAGAAGAAUACACAAAGCUUUUGCUGUGUCACUUAAGUUAUAUAGGAAUUCCUGAGCCCAAGAGUUAAGAAUAACAAGUUUUUCCUUACCCAAAAUUGAAUACCCGCUUAGAAUACCAAACCAGAUUAUAUUUGUUGAGAAGUGCAAAAUCGUAUCCAUACGAUUCUCAUUUUGUAUCGUGAUUAAUUGGAUCGUUUCUUUAUGGAUUCCUAUCCCAAACUCUUCGAGAUGUGUUUCCGAGUAUUCCUUGAUCAUUUCGUCCAAGAAGAGGAGUUCCUCUAAUUCUCUGAAUUUUUCUAGAAGACUCUUUUCUUGAAUAUUAUUCAAGACAAUUUGGGAUUGCCCAGUAUUCCACCAAUUAGUAACCCAAGAUUCCAGCCAUUUAUUAACUGAGAAAGAAAUCCACCAGGGCAAAAAUACUAUAGAUGCAAGAUAGAAAAGAGGAGUGAAUGCUUUCUUUUUUGCCAUUUUUUCGUCUGUAAAUUGUUAAUCAACCCAUUCGUACACUCUAUGCGAUCGAAUAUUUCUUACACACAUGAGUUUUAUACAAGGUAUCGAACUUAUGAAUCUAUUUUCUUUGUGAUUUUGUGGUUAGUCUUUGAAUCUAGAAAGAAUACAGAAAUAGGCUAAGAAUUCACUUCGAAUGAAGAAAUUGAGAAUAUUGUUUCCUGAUAUCUCAAUUGGUCAAAUUAAAAAUUAAGUGUAUCCUUUCGAUGAAUGACCGAAAGAACCACUUUAAGUAAUGAAUAUUAUUCAGAUUUUGAGACGAAAGAACUCCUUUGCUAUCAAAAUAUCCAAUAUUUCGAAAAAAUUUCAUUGAUUACCCAUAGUCAGGAAUAGAAUAAUUGAGGGAAAGAUAUUAGGAUGAUAAAAAAAAAUGACUAGCAAAGGAUAAAUUGGCUAGUUCUCAGUAUUUAAUUAAGAAAUCCAAUUGUUGGUCAUUAAAGAAUACAAAAGAAAGAAUUUCAAAUUUACAAGAUACGAUCUAUCUGGAUCUAAAGUGUCAAUUCCAACAAAUAUUGAACUAAAAAAAAUUCUUGCUUUCGAAAUGGUUUGCCGUCUGAGAUGAAUCUAUUAUUUCGAUUUGUUAUUUGUUAUUGAAUUGCGUGCACAUAAAGACCAUAAAAAGAGUUUCGUUUUAUGGUUCUUUCAUAUACGUUUUCUUUAAUUGAAUGAACGUUCUGAUUCUCAAUUUAUCAAAAUACUUCAAUUGGUACACGCAAGAAAUAGGCUAAUUCAGCAGCCUUUUGUUCAAUUUCUCGUGGAGUCAAAUUCUCAUCAGUACGGGUCAAGGGAAUGGACCCCUGGCCUCGGAUGUCCAUAUAAAGAACACGACGAGCAUAAAUACCCUCUUUAACUUCUAUUCUAACGGACUGAAUAUCUUUUAUAAGGAAUCGGAGGAAUAUGCGACGAUUUUUUCCCGGAAAUCCCCAACGAAAGAUACAGACUAUUCCCUCCUUUCUAUCGAAUCGAUCAUAACCACUACCUACAUUCCAGGAAAUUGUGCACCACAAAUAAGAGCUAAUAAAGAGACCCGCAAUUCCGUAGAAAGACAUCACGAUUCCUUGUGGAAAAAAAAUGAUUUGCUGAGGCGGAAAAAAAGAUAGCAAAUUUCUACCAAGAUAACUGGAAGUUCCAACUAAUAAGAAGCCUAAUGAACCUAAAAAAAGGAUCAAGGCCCAGCAGAAAUUACUUAUUUUUCGAGACCCCGUUAUAAGUUCUAUCCAUAUAUCGUCUGAUCGCCAAGUCAUACUUUACUCGAUUGCAUUUUAUUGGAAUUGAGAUAAUACCCCAGAAAAAUUUGACUUUACUUUUUUGUUUCCGAAGUAACUCUCAUCAACUAGCACUAGUUUGAGGUGAACUAGCACUAGUUUGAUGUCAACCUUUAGGAGUAAUUCAUCAAAUUGGUUAAAUCUAAAAUAAUAACAUACUCUUUAUUUAAUACGAUCCCACUAUACAUAUCGAUAUACAUAUAGAUUCACCGACUACAUUUCAGCCAUCCAGAGAUCCUGAUCUAUUUGAAAAUUGCUAGAAUUGAUAUAUCCAUAUAUCAUGUUUCUGCGGGCAUAAGAGUUUUUUCCUUUAUGUUCGGUGGAAAUCACAUGUUAUACUAUACUCCAAUAAAUAGAUAUCCGUGUUAUGAUACAAGUCCACGUUUUCAAAAAAAAAAAUGGAUGAGAUUGGGUCCCAGCGGAUCUAAACAAUCUUGUUUUUUUGAACAUGAAGAAAUAAAGAAGCCAUUGCAAUUGCCGGAAAGACUAGGCCUACUAACGGCACAAAAAUAGAUGGAAGGUUCAAAUUUGUCAUAGAAGGGGUACCUCGAUUUACUAUUUGUAUCUGUUAUUAUGUUAUUAUAUAAAUAAAGAUAUCUUGUAAUAAUUAUAAUUAAAUUAAGAAUUUGAAUUCUAAUUAGAUAUUAGAUAAUAUUUAUUAUUAAUAGAAUUUGAAGAAUUUGAAAUUCUUAGUAUAGAUCGAAGUAUCGAUAUAUCUAAAUCUAACUGAGUACGUAUAAUAAGAAUAAGUGCAAAGAAUGUAGAACUGUAGAACUAAAUAAAUGGACUUAUUCAUCUCCUCCAUGAGAAAGAUAUGUAUGAUAAUAAACUUUAUUAUUUUUCUUCAUUUCUUUGUCUUUUGUUCUUGUCUUCUACUUUUCUAAAAAUAGAUAAAGAGUUUUUUACAGAUUAUCGACGGAUUCAUUCGAAUCCGACCCAACAUGGAUUUUUAGCUAAAAUGGUUUUUCGGUAGAUAGAGAAAGAUACAAAACUCUAUUAUCUCUAUUGAAAUUUCAAAUUAUAUACCUAAGACAAGACCAAAUUCGUUUUAUUUUACUAAUUUCACGAAAGGAAGAACUCACUCUUGGUGAUAAAGGUUUCUUGAUUCGUAAUCAGGAAUAUAGGUCAAAAAAAGAGUUAUCCUCAACUUUCGUUUUAAUUCUUUCUACAAUUCGAUCUUCUAUCACCAAAGAAAAGGCCAUUAUUAUCUUAUUUACUUUGAUUCCGAUAAACUAACUACUUUUUGCUACAAACACAAAAAAAAUAAUUGAACUUAGUGCUCUACUUGAUUUUGCUUGACUUUUGAUUCAAAGGAAAAAAGGCGUGGAGCUUAAAUAACUCACUCAGAACGCUUUUUAAAAGAUUACGUGGUACAAUUAGGUCGAAUAAACCCUUCUGGAAUAAGUAUUCAGCUGCUUGUGAACCUUCGGGUACUGUUUUAUUCAAUGUUUGUUCAAUUACUCUUUUACCUGCAAAUGCAAUGUAGGCAUUGGGUUCGGCAAUAAUGAUAUCCCCCAACAUACCAAAACUAGCUGUCACUCCACCAGUUGUCGGAGAUGUAAGGAUUGAUACAUAAAAUAAUUUUUUAUUUAAUUGAUAAUCAUAUAAAGCAGACGAUAUUUUAGCCAUUUGCAUCAAGCUCAAACUUCCUUCCUGCAUGCGCGCCCCCCCAGAAGCACACACUAUCAUAAGAGGUAAAUUUUGAUUGGCAGCGUGUUCAAUCAAACGGGUGAUUUUCUCUCCGACUACGGAUCCCAUACUACCCCCCAUAAACUGAAAAUCCAUAACCCCAAUUGCUACGGGAAUGCCGUUUAGUUGGCCUAUGCCUGUUUGAACAGCCUCGGUUAAUCCUGUCUUUCUUUGAUAAGAAUCAAUACGGUCCUUAUAAGGCUCCUCCUCCGAAUGAAAUUCAAUGGGAUCCAGCGAGACCAUGUCUUCAUCCAUAGGAUCCCAAGUACCCGGAUCGAUCAAAAGUUCAAUUCUAUCCGAACUACUCAUUUUCAAAUGAUAUCCACAUUGUUCACAAAUAUUCAUUUUUGAUUUCAAAAAUUUCUUAUAAUUUAAUCCAUAACAAUUUUCGCAUUGAACCCACAAAUGCUUGUAUUUUUGAGUUACCUCGAGAUCAUUAGAACUUUCUCUUAUAGUUAAAUCACUGUCCUUUGUGCGAGUUCGUCUACUGGAACCCUCGUUUUCACUACUAUUUAGACUUUGACCACUACAAAUGGCCCUAUAAAUGUAACUGUCACCGUUACUCUCACUACCACUUAUAAUGGAAGUAUCUAUACAGAUUUGAGACUGAAGAUAAUUAUCAAUGCAACUAUUAAUGUGAUUAUUCCAACUAUAUUGAGUAUCAUACAUGUAAGAAUUAUAGUAGGGAUCUUCGCCCCUAAAUCCAUUAUUCAGAUAACUCGAGUUUCGAUAACUAUAAAAAGAACUUUCUAGUUCACUCAGAAAAGAAUGAUCGUUGUCAACCUCAAAAAUAUGAUUUUCAAUAUCAAAAUAGAUGGAAUAACUGUCCCCAUUCCUAUCACUAACUAAAAAAGUGUCAUUAGAGAUGAAAUUCCAAAUGUCUUUAACGCCGAAUAAAUAAUCAACAUUACUGCAACUAUGAAUGUUUUUCACUUUUAGAUUUGGAUCUUCACUGGUAUUUUCAAUAGGACCAAGACUGCCCAUUGAUUUAUUUAGCCCACACCUGCGUUCGAACUCCUUCUUAAACAACAUCGAAUUAAACCACCAUCUUUCCAUAGAGUUUUCUUGCCCCCUAUUUGCAUGAAAAUACAAUAGAUGAAUAGUCAUUCGCUAUAAAAUUCUUUAUUUGAAUAUCUUAUUUCCUAUCAGACUAAGCAUAGAAAUCCAAUCACUAGGAUUAUUAACUAAUACGGAUUGUGAGUAUUCAAAAAAAGUUCUGAAUCUGGGGGAACACUUCACUAUAUAUUAAUAUGUUGGAACCCCCUUUUAUUAUUAAAAAGAAUAUAAAAAUAAUAGAAUUUUUGAUAAAGGGCGGCUUCUCCUAUGUCGUGUCAAAUUCGCAUCGAAAAAAAGAGAUUUGUCCUCUCUUAUAAAUAUAAAGAAAUAAAAAAAAUUCGUAAAAUCUCGUCUAAUACUAAUAUCUAAUCACUAACUAAUCUAACAAUCUAAAAUCUAAUAAUAAGUAAUAAAUUAAGGUUCUAUUUCAACACGGAACAAAGGGGACAAUAUACAGGAUGGGUAGAAAGAGUUGGAAUACUUGGCUUGAUUCAGGGAAACUACAAACUACAGGAUAGAAAAGAAUAUACCAAUCCUAAGGAUCCGUAGGAUUAAUUGUGGAUCCAAGACAAUAAUAGAAAGAUUUGAGUCUUAGAUUUUGAUUUAGUUUUCUAGAUUUUGUAUUUCAAAUCUUGAUCAAAAUAUAUGCAAUAGAAUCUUAGUUGUAUUCGGCCCAAUCUUUUACUAAAAGGAUUGAGCCGAAUUAAAUUGUAAUGUAAUUCAAUUAAGAGAACGAAGGAUAAUUACUUGAGUUCUUUCUCCUUAUCCUUCUUUAUUUCCUGCUAAUUUAUCUGCUAAUGUCUACUGUUUUUACUUAUCCAAAACGUCCACUGCUGCAAAAUUAAAUACGAUCUCUUUCCAUACCUCACAAGCAGCAGCUAGUUCCGGGCUCCAUUUGCAAGCCUCGCGAAUAAUCUCAUUACCUUCCCGAGCAAGAUCACGUCCUUCAUUACGAGCUUUUACACAUGCUUCUAGAGCUACUCGAUUAGCUACGGCACCUGGCGCAUUACCCCAAGGAUGUCCUAAAGUUCCUCCACCGAACUGUAGUACGGAAUCAUCCCCAAAGAUCUCGGUCAGAGCAGGCAUAUGCCAAACGUGAAUACCUCCUGAAGCCACAGGUAGAACACCUGGUAAAGAGACCCAAUCUUGAGUGAAAUAAAUACCGCGACUUCUAUCUUGUUCAACAAAAUCAUCACGCAGUAAAUCAACAAAGCCCAAAGUUAUGUCUCUUUCACCUUCAAGUUUACCUACUACGGUACCAGAGUGAAUAUGAUCUCCACCAGACAUACGUAACGCUUUUGCUAAUACCCGGAAGUGGAUACCAUGAUUCUUCUGUCUAUCAAUAACCGCAUGCAUUGCACGGUGGAUGUGAAGAAGUAGACCAUUAUCUCGGCAAUAAUGAGCCAAGGUAGUAUUUGCGGUAAAUCCCCCCGUUAAGUAGUCAUGCAUUACGAUCGGAACGCCCAAUUCUCUAGCAAAUACAGCUCUUUUGAUCAUUUCUUCGCAUGUACCUGCAGUAGCAUUCAAGUAAUGCCCUUUGAUUUCACCUGUUUCAGUCUGUGCUUUAAAAAGUGCUUCGGCACAAAAUAAGAAACGAUCUCUCCAACGCAUAAAUGGUUGUGAGUUCACGUUCUCAUCAUCUUUGGUAAAAUCAAGUCCACCGCGAAGACAUUCAUAAACAGCUCUACCGUAGUUUUUUGCAGAUAACCCCAAUUUAGGUUUAAUAGUACAUCCCAACAGGGGACGACCAUACUUGUUCAAUUUAUCUCUUUCAACUUGGAUCCCAUGAGGCGGACCUUGGAAAGUUUUAACAUAAGCAGGAGGGAUUCGCAGAUCUUCCAGACGUAGAGCGCGCAGGGCUUUGAACCCAAAUACGUUACCUACAAUGGAAGUAAACAUAUUGGUAACGGAACCUUCUUCAAAAAGGUCUAAAGGGUAAGCUAC
rnacentral:lncRNA from 1 species